GGACCGCCUCCUCAGUUGUUGCCGGGCAACAGAGGAAGCUUCAGUUUUGCCAUAGGUCCAGCUUUGCUAAAGAGCUUGCUAGCCGAUUUCUGUAGCGUCACCUACUUCAUUUCGAACGAAGCAAUGGAGGUGGCGAUGGACCCUUUGUUUCUGGCGUGGAGCUAUUUCAGGCGGAGGAAACUCCAACAAUGUUCAGAUAUUUGUACAAAAAUAUUACAAGACAACCCAUACGACCAGGCUGCCUGGAGCUUGAAAACCCGUGCUCUUACAGAGAUGGUAUACAUAGAUGAAGUUGAGGUGGACCAAGAGGGGAUUGCUGAGAUGAUGCUGGAUGAGAGCUUUAUUGCUCAAGUUGCACGCCCUGGAACAUCACUGAGACUCCCUGGAACAAGUCAGGGUGGAGGUCCCUCACCGGCUGUCAGGCCUAUGACACAAUCAGGACGUCCUAUCACAGGAUUUGUGAGACCCAGCACACAGUCAGGGCGUCCUGGGACAAUGGAGCAGGCCAUCAAAACCCCCCGUACUGCAAGCACUGCUCGUCCUGUCACUAGUGCUUCUGGUAGAUUCACCCGUCUGGGAACAGCUUCAAUGUUAACCAACCCAGAUGGACCAUUUAUAAACUUGUCAAGAUUAAAUCUUGCCAAGUAUUCGCAAAAACCUAAUUUAUCCAGGACACUGUUUGAGUACAUCUUCCACCAUGAAAAUGAUGUGAAAAAUGUAAGUGUUGCAUUAUAUUUACAGCAAAAAGAAUUGGUUAACAUUACACUACAAGAUUUUGACUGUUGCAACAAAAAUGUAUUGUUUCACCAGGCUCUAGAUUUGGCUGCUCAGGCUACUGAACAUGCCCAGUUCAGAGACUGGUGGUGGAAGGUUCAGCUGGGAAAAUGUUACUACAGGCUUGGUUUAUAUCGAGAAGCAGAAAAACAGUUUCAAUCAGCUCUCAACCACCAAGAGGUGGUGGAUACAUAUCUCUACCUUGCAAAGGUUUAUCAACGUUUGGAUCAACCAGUAACAGCACUGAACCUUUUCAAGCAAGGCCUGGACCACUUCCCUGGUGAGGUCACACUUCUAACAGGAAUCGCCCGCAUACAUGAGGAGAUGAACAACAUUUCAUCAGCCACAGAGUACUACAAAGAUGUGCUGAAGCAAGACAACACCCAUGUGGAGGCUAUUGCCUGUAUAGGCAGCAGUCACUUCUACACUGAUCAGCCUGAGAUCGCCCUGCGUUUCUACAGACGACUGCUCCAAAUGGGGGUGUAUAAUUGCCAGCUGUAUAACAACCUCGGGCUGUGCUGCUUCUAUGCCCAGCAGUAUGACAUGACUCUGUCUUCAUUUGAGAGGGCUCUGGCCCUGGUAGCCAAUGAUGAAGAGCAGGCCGAUGUCUGGUACAACAUAGGGCAUGUGGCUGUGGGCAUAGGAGAAUUGACACUGGCCUACCAGUGUUUUAAACUGGCUUUGGCUUUCAAUAAUGACCAUGCUGAGGCCUACAACAACUUGGCUGUGCUGGAGCUGCGCAAAGGUCGCAUUGAGCAGUCUAAAGCCUACCUGCAGACUGCUGCAUCACUGUGCCCUCACAUGUAUGAGCCACACUUCAACCUCUCCAUUCUCUGUGAAACGAUUGGAGACCUUCAGAGCAGCUACACUGCGGCCCAAAAGUCUGAGGACGCCUUUCCCGAGCAUGUUGACACUCAACAGCUCCUUAAGCAGCUUCGGCAGCAUUUUGCGGUGCUGUGAGCGUCUGGACGGUGCACUCAGUGGAGAGGGGUUUCAGUUUGAGUGAUGCUGCUGUCAGAGAUCAGAGACCGCUGUGGCAGCCAACAGUCUUCACAACACAAAGUUAUUAAAAUGAACUCUCUGGCGUCCUGCCAUGAUCUGCGAGAAAGGGCCUCAGAGAAAGCGAAGUAGUAACACACUGAGUUCAUGAAAGUCCAUCCUGUCUUUGCUUCUUCUGGUCUGGUGUUCGAGCUCCCACUUGACGAGUUGCUGCUCGGAGAUCUCUUUUGCCAGCUGGUUCUUGGCUUCAUCCCUGCUCUGGACUGCGGCGUUUAUCUGUGUCAAAGAUCAAGUUAAUACAUACAACCAGAGGGAAUUUAAUACAGUUAUUGUAGUGUAAAUGUAACAUUUGCCAGGUGUCAUACAGCUAAUGCAGGGAGCUGCUGAUCUUUAAGAGUGUGGAGGCCACUGUGUCAACUACAGGCUGUGUUCCAGCCAACACAUAAUAAAGAUUUUUCAGUUUUUUAUAAACAUUCCAUUGAUAUUACCUGUAAAAAUAAAUAAAUCUAGAUUUAUAAAUUUUUAAUGAUCACUUGGAGGCAUUGGAAACAAUAUGUAAGUAACCAGAAUGUUUUAUCUUAUAAAGUUUAAAUGGCAAAUACCUUAGCAAACAUUUUCUAGCAGACACAGAGCAACAUGGGCUUUCAUUUGGAGGUCUAUUUGUGUCUACUUAAUGAAUUAAAGUCCAAUAUUAACUUUUCUCUUAGCUCUGUUUUCAUCUCCAAUGACUCAUCAAGGAAAUGUCUGACUGUCUAGCAGUGGUAUAAGAACUACGCAAGUUGUCUACUCAAGUAAAAGUCACAAUACAACACCGCAAAAACACUAUGUUACAAUUAAAAGUCCUGCAUACAAAAUAUUACUUAAGUAAAUACACAAGAGUAUUAGAAUCAAAAUAUACUUAAAGUACUAAAAGUACUUGCAAUGCAGAUCGGCACAUUGCACAUCAUAUUAGACUAUAAUUACUGAUGCAUUGUUGUGUUCAUCACUUUAAUGUUGCAGCUGGAAAAGGUGGAGCCAAAGUUACCUACUGUAUCUUAUACUUACAACUUAAAGUACUUC